AUUGAACGCUGGCGGCAGGCCUAACACAUGCAAGUCGAACGAGUGGCGGACGGGUGAGUAAUGUCUGGGAAACUGCCUGAUGGAGGGGGAUAACUACUGGAAACGGUAGCUAAUACCGCAUACCAUCAGUGGUGCCCAGAUGGGAUUAGCUUGUUGGUGGGGUAACGGCGAACCAAGGCGAAGAUCCCUAGCUGGUCUGAGAGGAUGAUCCGCGACAUUGGGACUGAGAACCGGCCGAAAAUCCGACGGAAGGCAGGAGUGGGGAAUAUUGGAAAACGGGGGCAACCCUGAACCACCCAUGCCGCGUGAGUGAUGAAGGCCCGAGGGUUGUAAAGCUAUUUUGUGCGGGACGGUACCGAAAGAAUAAGCCCCGGCUAACUUCGUGCCAGCAGCCGCGGUAAUAC
rnacentral:rRNA from 1 species